rnacentral:rRNA from 1 species
UACGGGGGGAGCAAGCGUUGUUCGGAUUCAUUGGGCGUAAAGGGUGCGUAGGCGGCGCGGUAAGUCGGGUGUGAAAUCUCGGAGCUUAACUCCGAAACUGCAUUCGAUACUGCCGUGCUUGAGGACUGGAGAGGAGACUGGAAUUUACGAUGUAGCGGUGAAAUGCGUAGAUAUCGUAAGGAAGACCAGUGGCGAAGGCGGGUCUCUGGACAGUUCCUGACGCUGAGGCACGAAGGUCAGGGGAGCAAACGGG